GCCCUCGUGACCUAACGGAUAAGGCAUCGGUCUUCUAAACCGGAGAUUGCGGGUUCGAGUCCCGCCGAGGGUG
rnacentral:tRNA from 1 species